UGUUCUUCCGCUCUCAGGCACUAGCUUAGCUUAGCAUAAAGACUGGAAACAGGGGGAAACAUCUAGCUUAGCUUAGCAUAAAGACUGGAAACAGCUAGCCUGACUCCGUCCAAAGGUAAACCUACCAGACAUGAGUGGUGAUGAUCUUUUUAUCCAAAAUGUCCAGAUAGAAAAUAAAAGUGUAUAUUUUGUCUGACCUUUUUGUGAUACAAGAGGAGAAUGCAACUGUAAUAACACUUCAUAAUAACUAUUAAUAAUUCAUAUAGUCCACUGGUUUAAUGAACUGGUUACUUUUUAUUCUUAAAACUGAUGUGUUGUGUUCUUUAUUCAUCUGAUUUCCUUUACUAUAUAAUCAACUAAGCAUUCAAAAAUAAAAGACAUAUUGUCACAAAAACAGUGUCUGGUCCUGAUCUCUAAAAGUGCG